CUACUCUUCUGCAUAUAUUUUUGUGUACAGAUUCAAGUAUUUCUUAUUAGUUCCGCUAUUAGCUGAGACUGUUUACUGCUGUACGGAGACUUCAAGGUACAUUUAUCGCGUCCGCAGACUUCGGAGUCCCCUUCUAUUCUCCCCUAUGUCAGUUACCUUUUGUACUUCUUUUAUUAGACUUUGGUGUAUAGAGAUACUAGUUUUCUUAUGUUGUUUGUGACUUACGAUAUUCCAGGUUUUGAGAAUACUGUAUAUUACUAGAGUGUUGGUUAUUGUAGACGCCGAGCGGUAUUGUUACCAGUUAUUUAGUUAUAUGUUGUAGAUAUUUAUUAAGUUUUACUUCUAUUUUUAUUAUUUUUGCAUUUUAUUAGACUUACCUAGUUGUAGAGAGUAGGUGCCGUCACGAGUCUUACGGAGAGGGAGAAUUGGGUCGAGACAGCUAUACUUCAACGUAUUCGGUGGAGUUCGUGUCAGAUUUGCAGAGGCUUUGCCUUGAAUAACUGGACCUCUUUCACCGUAAGAAACAUUACCGUCUUCGAUUUUGAUUAUGAUACUUUGUAUCUCCGUACUCCUUUCCUGCUUUGGAUCCUUAAUCUCUCAAAAAUCUUAUCCCUAAAUCUUUGCUUGUUUUUUUUUUCAAUCUUCAUUCUGUUCUCAGAUCUGUAUUUCAAUAACUGUUUUAUGUAUUCAUUCGUGUUCAUUCAUAGAUCUCUCGAGUUUCGAAGUAGUUUCUAUAUAUUUCAAUUUUUAGAUGUAGAAUUUUGGAGUUUUGAGUUGUGGAGGUAGCUUAAAAUCAUUGCUUAAUUCAAUUUGAAGGAGGUUUUCUGGAAUUGGUUUGAAAUUUGAAGGUUUUGCAAAUUAGGACUUUUUAAAAUUUGUUCCCAACUGUUAGGUACAUGUAACUCCAUAUCAUAGCUAUUCCUUGGAGUUUAGACAAUGUUUUGUAGCAAUUUGAUAGGAUUGUUGUUGUGUGCGUGGACUUGGUGGUAGGCUUGAGUUUUGUGGGUUAUAUGGGGAGGAGGAUAGGGCAAGGUGAGAUUUGUUUCUUUCUUGCAUAAACCUCUCAACUUAUCUUGCAACCCCUGAAACAUGGAAAACAUAGCAAUUGUGGUUGCGUCCUGAAUUGUUCUACUCUCACGCCUCUCUUUACUUCUGACAUAGGCCAAAAAAUACUUACAAUAACUUAGUUGUAGACAAUUCUUUCUUUAAAGAACUCAAAGGACUGUUAAAGAAAUAUAAAUGCAUAGCGUAUAGGUAUUCAUGCUAAAUAUAAAAUAUUUUCUUGUGUUUAUGCACUUUGUGUUCUGCCAUAGUUUCUCACUUUGAAUAUUAUUGUCUGCAUUGCAAUUGUAAGGUACAUCUAUCUUCACAUUAUGUUGUUUAUGCUAAGAUCUCAGGCUACUGAAGAUGACAUUACUGAUGUUUCAGUUUGGUAAUAACAUAUUCUCAUAAUCUUUCCAACUCAUUCACUAGAAAAGAGUAAAAAGGGAGAUUUGAGUAUUUGCAAUGUUAUCUCAUUGACUUCAUAUGAAGCCAAGGCAGAAAGGUUACCGGACGGAUACGACUAAGGCUAGCGAAUUUUGUUUUGCAUUGUGUCUAAGACCAGUUAUUGAACUUUAUCUAAUUGUGCUCAGAAAAAUGAAGCAUGGGUCCAGGAAGUGACCAGAAUCCAGAUACAUGUGUUAAAAGCACAUGUACUUUAUACCUCUUCUUUCUUUUAUUUUUUCAGUUUUUUUUUUUCAAUUGUUUUGCUUUCGUUCUAUUUCUUCUAUUUCUUUUUAAAAAAUUUAUCCAUCCGAUGUGUUCGUGUGGUUCAUUUUUUCUGUGAGUUUAGGAAACACGACAUAGACAACGUUAUUUGAAUUUGAUGCUGAACUUACAUGUUCUGCAAAUAUUUAAGAGUGUGCAAAGAUCUUAACUUAUAUCCGAAGCGUUCUGAUAAUCUUGACUUCUUAGAGGUUGGAGUUUUAUGGAGCUGUUUUAUUUUUCCUUUACAGAUUUGAUAUUAUUAGAGCUCUAUUAGUAGCUUGGCUUGAAAAAAACUAAUUGAAAUAUAUAAAUCCUACUUGUAACUGGUAGAGAGCAGAUUAAGAAUUUGUAGCCAUUUGUUUUCUCUCAAUAUUUUUGUUAUUUAAGAUGUUGCACUAAAUAUUUAAUGUGAAGAAGCUUCAUUGUAUUUUCCACAUGAUAGAUAGUGAGCUUUCAAUUGCAGAUGAACUUUCAGCCUAGAGUUUUUAUCACUAUAAGAGUACUCCCAGAUGGCGAAAGAGAACUCAAACAUGUGAGAUUCAGGUUAGUUUCAUUUCACUAGUUAUAUCAAAUUAGAGAACUAAAAUAGGUAUAUUUGCUUGCAUUUGUGCUAUUGGGGGGAUAGGCCUACUAGCGAAGUCUAGUUGUGCAGGUGGAGCUCUAAGAAUACUGUCAAAAUGAUAGCCUCAAAAUGUUAUCAUUGAAGUUGCACCACCAUCCAUUUUGAUAUUAAGUGCUAGCAUUCCAGUGAAGUUUUCAUCAUUUCAAUCUGUUUAUAUGUAUUUCAGAAAUUAUGUUUAGUUACUUACCCAUUUUUAUAAUGCUCUGAUAGUAAGAAGAAGAACGACAAGAAAGAACAACAUUUAUAUGCCAUGUGAACUUGAUUUUUCAUGUACCUUUUCAAUAAAGUUCCAAGUUUGAUAGAAAUCUUUUGAAGUUUUAAUGUUAAAAUUCGUUUGUUCUGUGCAAUCAAUUGGUCUAAAUUUCAACUUCCACUUCAAACACCUAAUCCAGUAUGAUAUUGCAUAACUAUCGAUUGGUUUCUUUCUAAUUUUUAAUUUCAUUUUUAAUGUGUAGGAAAAUAUGGGUGAUAGCAAUUGGAUAUGGCGGACAAAAGUUAAUUGAUCUAUUGGAGUACAUGAUAAAGACUUUUUGAGUAAUUGUGAUGUUUAUUAUUAUGAUACUAUAGGAAAACAUUCAGUUUAUAGAGUUCGUUGUUAGUGCACAUGUUGAAAUAUUGUUUAUUAGUAUGUAUAGAAUACGAAAUAUGUUUCUGUUAUAAAAUAAAAGCAAUUUAGUGAAACAUGAACAAGACAUGUUGUUAUGAAAUAAAAGUAUUUUAGUAAAACAUGAACAAGAAAUGGAGAUAGAGAGAAUGAAGAGAUUUUCUUCUUCAAUUGUGUGUAUUUUCUUAUUUAUUUCAAAGCCUUUAUAUAGGUAUGAAAAGUGAAGAAAAAUAUGUCAUUGAAUAUGUCAUUAAGCAUAGAAAUAUGUCAUUGAAUAUGUCAUUAAGCAUUUGAGAAGAUCAUGGAGGAAGAGUAGACAUCCACCAUAAUUUAAUUUUUCUUAUAACACUCCUCCUUGGAUGGUCAUAGAUAAUGUGCCUCGUUAAAACCUUAUUAGGAAAAACAUCCUAUGGGAAAAAAAAUUUUAGUGAAGGAAAAAGAGUACACAUGUUUAGAAAUAUACCUUUUGGUUGUCUCGUAAAAAACCUUGCAAGAAAAACACAGUGGGACAAAACCUUGUAAGAAAAAAGAGUACAACACGUAUUAACUCCCCCUGAUGAGAGUAUCAAUUCACAUCCUUAGUCUUCGCAUCCCAAUCUUGUACACUAAUUUCUUGAAGGUUGCCGUCGGUAGAGAUCUGGUGAACAGAUCAGCCAUAUUAUCACUUGAACGGAUCGGUUGCACAUUGGUAUCACCAUUCUUUUGAAGAUCAUGUGUGAAAAAUAACUUUGGUGAAAUUUGCAAGUACUAUCCCCUUUAUGAAUCCUCUCUUCAAUUGGGCUAUGCAUGCUGCAUUGUCUUCAUACAAAAUUGUGGGUAGUUUGUCACACUUCAAACUACAUUUGUCUCGAAUAAGGUGUAUUAUAGACCUCAACGAUACACAUUCUCGACUUGCUUUAUGAAUAGCAAUUAUCUCAGCAUGAUUAGAUAAAGUAGCCACGAUUGAUUGCUUAGUCGAUCGCCAAGAUAUGGCAGUGCCUCCAUAUGUAAACACAUAGCUUAUUUGAGAUCGAGUCUUGUGUGGGUCAUAUAAAUACCCAGUAUCGGCAUAACCAACAAGAUCGGGACUGCAAUCAUUGCCAUAAAAUAAUCUCAUAUCGGUAGUCCCUUUUAGAACACAUUUAUACCUCCACUGGCUUUAUACUUUUAGGUUUUGGGACUAUUUGUCCAACUUCAUAUUUUUCAGGCGAAAUCAAUUUUCAUUGCGUUAUUUUCAUUUGGCCAAUCAUUUAUCUGUUCAAAUUUCAUGAUAGAUUUGAGCUCAAGAUCCUCGUCAAUAUUAAUAAUAUUGAGCGCUACAUUAUAUUAACAAUAUCGUCGACGAUCAUUUUAUAUCAGUUCUACUAUCAUCCAAUAAAGAUAUAACUUAUUGAGAUCUCUUUAUCUUAUUAUUUUCAGGUACCCGAGCCUCUACCAUGAGGUCUUAUGAAGUGUUAUGUCGUGGUGCUCUUCUAGAGAACUUGCC
rnacentral:lncRNA from 1 species